UUUUAUUUAGAGUUUAGGAUUUUAUUAGGAUUUUAUUUAGAAUUUAGGAUUUAGUUAGGGUUUGGUUUAGGAUUUAGAGUUUGGAUUAGGAUUUGAUUUAGGAUUUAAGAUUUGGAUUAGGGUUUGAUUUAGGAUUUAGAAUUUGGAUUAGGGUUUGGUUAGGAUUUGAUUUAGUAUUUAGGGUUUGGUUUAGGAUUUGGUUUGGGUUUGGUUUAAGGUUUGUUUAGGGUUUGAUUUAGGAUUUAGGAUUUUAUUAGGAUUAAAGAUUCAAUUAAUUUUGGCCUAAAGUUUGAAUGAAGUUCAAUAGGAUUUAACUAGAAUUAAAUUAAGAUUGAAUUGAGAUGUAUUUGAGUGAUAUUUGUGAUCCUUCUAAUAUUUCUUUAAAAAUUCUUAUUGUUUUUUUGAAAUUUCUUUGAAUUUUUUUUGAAUUAGAUUAAGCUUUUUUAGUAUUAUUAUGGUCUAAAUAGAACAUUGUUAGUAUUCUAUUAGAAUUAAGAUUUUGUUGUUACAAAUUUCAUUCUUUCUUCCACAUUCAGGUGCCCGGAGCAU
rnacentral:lncRNA from 1 species